CUUCCGCCCUCCCCGCACAGGAGGACGGAUCGAGGUAAGCCGCGCGCUCUGCCCUGACCGCGCAGGCACCUCCCACCGGCCGCCGGGAACCGCACACCCGGCCGGCCGUAAGUACUCCGGGCUACGGUGCCGGACGGGUUGAGGGUCCCGACCCGGCAC
rnacentral:ncRNA from 1 species